rnacentral:rRNA from 1 species
AUGCAGUCGAGCGGUACACAGGAGAGCUUGCUCUCUGGGUGACGAGCGGCGGAUGGGUGAGUAAUGUCUGGGAAACUGCCUGAUGGAGGGGGAUAACUACUGGAAACGGUAGCUAAUACCGCAUGACCUCGCAAGAGCAAAGUGGGGGACCUUCGGGCCUCACGCCAUCGGAUGUGCCCAGAUGGGAUUAGCUAGUAGGUGGGGUAAUGGCUCACCUAGGCGACGAUCCCUAGCUGGUCUGAGAGGAUGACCAGCCACACUGGAACUGAGACACGGUCCAGACUCCUACGGGAGGCAGCAGUGGGGAAUAUUGCACAAUGGGCGCAAGCCUGAUGCAGCCAUGCCGCGUGUGUGAAGAAGGCCUUAGGGUUGUAAAGCACUUUCAGCGAGGAGGAAGGGUUGAGUGUUAAUAGCACUGAACAUUGACGUUACUCGCAGAAGAAGCACCGGCUAACUCCGUGCCAGCAGCCGCGGUAAUACGGAGGGUGCAAGCGUUAAUCGGAAUUACUGGGCGUAAAGCGCACGCAGGCGGUUUGUUAAGUCAGAUGUGAAAUCCCCGAGCUUAACUUGGGAACUGCAUUUGAAACUGGCAAGCUAGAGUCUUGUAGAGGGGGGUAGAAUUCCAGGUGUAGCGGUGAAAUGCGUAGAGAUCUGGAGGAAUACCGGUGGCGAAGGCGGCCCCCUGGACAAAGACUGACGCUCA